CGUGCUUAACACAUGCAAGUCGAACGAUGAAGCCAGCUUGCUGGUGGAUUAGUGGCGAACGGGUGAGUAACACGUGGGUGAUCUGCCCUGUACUUUGGGAUAAGCCUGGGAAACUGGGUCUAAUACCGAAUAUGACCACUUAACGCAUGUUUUGUGGUGGAAAGCUCCGGCGGUAUGGGAUGGGCCCGCGGCCUAUCAGCUUGUUGGUGGGGUAAUGGCCUACCAAGGCGACGACGGGUAGCCGGCCUGAGAGGGCGACCGGCCACACUGGGACUGAGACACGGCCCAGACUCCUACGGGAGGCAGCAGUGGGGAAUAUUGCACAAUGGGCGCAAGCCUGAUGCAGCGACGCCGCGUGAGGGAUGACGGCCUUCGGGUUGUAAACCUCUUUCACCAGGGACGAAGCGUGAGUGACGGUACCUGGAGAAGAAGCACCGGCCAACUACGUGCCAGCAGCCGCGGUAAUACGUAGGGUGCGAGCGUUGUCCGGAAUUACUGGGCGUAAAGAGUUCGUAGGCGGUUUGUCGCGUCGUUCGUGAAAACUUGGGGCUUAACUCCAAGCGUGCGGGCGAUACGGGCAGACUUGAGUACUACAGGGGAGACUGGAAUUCCUGGUGUAGCGGUGAAAUGCGCAGAUAUCAGGAGGAACACCGGUGGCGAAGGCGGGUCUCUGGGUAGUAACUGACGCUGAGGAACGAAAGCGUGGGUAGCGAACAGGAUUAGAUACCCUGGUAGUCCACGCUGUAAACGGUGGGUACUAGGUGUG
rnacentral:rRNA from 1 species